AUGCUCUGGUUUCUCUUCAAAUCGUAUAAAUCUUUCGCCUUUUACUAAAGAUUUCCGUGGAGAGAAACCGUUUUGAGUUUCAAGCAAAUUUUUUGAAGCCCUAUGUUGGUGGGGUU
ensembl:snRNA RNU5D-1 RNA, U5D small nuclear 1